rnacentral:rRNA from 1 species
GAGUGAACGCUGGCGGUAGGCCUAACACAUGCAAGUCGAACGGCAGCACAGUAAGAGCUUGCUCUUACGGGUGGCGAGUGGCGGACGGGUGAGGAAUACAUCGGAAUCUACUUUUUCGUGGGGGAUAACGUAGGGAAACUUACGCUAAUACCGCAUACGACCUACGGGUGAAAGCGGGGGAUCUUCGGACCUUGCGCGAUUGAAUGAGCCGAUGUCGGAUUAGCUAGUUGGCGGGGUAAAGGCCCACCAAGGCGACGAUCCGUAGCUGGUCUGAGAGGAUGAUCAGCCACACUGGAACUGAGACACGGUCCAGACUCCUACGGGAGGCAGCAGUGGGGAAUAUUGGACAAUGGGCGCAAGCCUGAUCCAGCCAUACCGCGUGGGUGAAGAAGGCCUUCGGGUUGUAAAGCCCUUUUGUUGGGAAAGAAAAGCAGCAGGUUAAUACCCCGCUGUUCUGACGGUACCCAAAGAAUAAGCACCGGCUAACUUCGUG